GCCAGACGCGUUGGCAGGCGCCUGUAAUCCCAGCACUUUGGGAGGCUGAGGUGGGAGGAUCACUUGAGUCCAGGAAUUUGAGACCAGUGUCGGCAACAGAAUGACACACCCUACUCUACAAAAAAUAAAAGAAUCAGCUGGGCGUGGUGACGNNNNNNNNNNCGUCACCACGCCCAGCUGAUUCUUUUAUUUUUUGUAGAGUAGGGUGUGUCAUUCUGUUGCCGACACUGGUCUCAAAUUCCUGGACUCAAGUGAUCCUCCCACCUCAG
rfam:Chlorocebus sabaeus isolate 1994-021 chromosome 17, whole genome shotgun sequence.